rnacentral:lncRNA from 1 species
AGUGAUCACGCAGGUGAUGUAACUCUUGUCUAUAUCUGCCUACUGGCGGCAUUGUGGCAUAUUUCUGCACUGAUCACCCAGGUGAUGGACUCUUGUCUUGGAUCUGCCUAUGGGGGCAUAGUGACAUAACUCUGCAAUGAUCACUCAUGUGAUGUAACGCUUGUCUAAGCUGUGCCUAAAGGGGAAUUGUGACACAUAUCUCCACUGAUCACCCAGGUGAUGUAACAAUUUUCUGGGAUUUGUCUACAGGGGGCUUUGUGACAUAUCUUUGCACUGAUCACCCAGGAGAUGUAACUCUUGUCUAGACUCGACCUACAGGGGCUUUGUGACAUAUUUCUGCACUGAUAACCCAGGUGAUGUAACAAUUG